UACAGAGACCUCAAGCGUUAUCCGGAAUCAUUGGGCGUAAAGCGUACCGAUAGGUGGUCUAAAAAGUCAGAAGUGAAAUCUCAAGGCUCAACUUUGAGACUGUCUUUUGAAACCUUUAGACUAGAGGGGCAAAGAGGAAGCUGGAACGAACGGUGUAGUAGUGAAAUGCGUUGAUAUCGUUCGGAACACCAAUAGCGAAGGCGGGCUUCUGGGUGCCACCUGACACUGCUAGGACGAAAGCGUGGGGAGCGAAUGGG
rnacentral:rRNA from 1 species